AGGAGCCUACGGGGCGCAGCAGUGAGGAAUAUUGGUCAAUGGGCUUACGCCUGAACCAGCCAAGUCGCGUGAGGGAAGACUGCCCUAUGGGUUGUAAACCUCUUUUGUCAGGGAGCAACGCCGGCUACGUGUAGCCGGACUGAGAGUACCUGAAGAAAAAGCAUCGGCUAACUCCGUGCCAGCAGCCGCGGUAAUACGGAGGAUGCGAGCGUUAUCCGGAUCUAUUGGGGU
rnacentral:rRNA from 1 species